rfam:Anaerostipes sp. CAG:276 genomic scaffold, scf217
AACGGCCUGGGGUGUUCGAUAACGCCUGCUAUUUUGAACCUACAACUAUUUGAACGGGAUUCCGAAUAUCCGGCUGGAUACCAAGCCACAAUACGGUGGAAGGUAGAAGGCAGGAUGAGGAAACCCACCUAGCUGUGGCUAGGAGUCAAAAUUGCGGGGAACGGCAUCUUGGGCAUAAC